rnacentral:rRNA from 1 species
GAUGAACGCUGGCGGCGUGCCUAAUACAUGCAAGUCGAGCGAACAGACGAGGAGCUUGUUCCUCUGACGUUAGCGGCGGACGGGUGAGUAACACGUGGAUAACCUACCUAUAAGACUGGGAUAACUUCGGGAAACCGGAGCUAAUACCGGAUAAUAUAUUGAACCGCAUGGUUCAAUAGUGAAAGACGGUUUUGCUGUCACUUAUAGAUGGAUCCGCGCCGCAUUAGCUGGUUGGUAAGGUAACGGCUUACCAAGGCAAGGAUGCGUUGCCGACCUGAGAGGGGGGUCGGCCACACUGGAACGGAGACACGGUCCAGACUCCUACGGGAGGCAGCAGUAGGGAAUCUGCCGCAGUGGGCGAAAGCCUGACGGAGCAGCGCCGCGGGAGUGAUGAAGGUCUUGGGAUCGUAAAGCUCUGUUAUUAGGGAAGAACAAAUGUGUAAGUAACUGUGCACGUCGUGACGGUACCUAAUCAGAAAGCCACGGCUAACUACGUG